CGAAGAAUAAGCACGAGAUUCUGCAGAUGCAAGAAAUCCAGACACACACAAAAUGCUGGAGGAAUUCAGCAUUUCAGGUAGCAUCUAUAGAGAUGAAUCAAUAAUCGAUGGUUCCGGCCGUGACCCUUCAUCAGGACUGGAAAGGAAGGGGGGACCGCCAGAAUAAAAAAGAUAGUGGAGGUGCUUGACAAAGAUCCCCCAAUUUACAUCAGGUCUCACAGAUGUAGAGGAGAUGGUAUCGGAAGCACCUACAGUACGACCUCAACAGAUUCGCAGUAAUGCCUUAUAUCAGUGCCCAUUACUGUGUUGUGAAAGUGGAAAACUUCCUGUUUGUACCAGGAGGAGAA